CAGUAAGUUUGUAUAUAAGACCUCAUAGGGUUAAAAAAUGAAGCAAUUUGCACUUGCAUCCUAAAUUAUCUAGGACAACAUGAUGUCAUUGGAUAAAAUAUUUUUGAAUGCUUUAAUUAAAUAAAAAAUCUUUCCUUUUUUUGGUCAAAUAAAAACUCCAAGAUGCUUGGAUAGUUUCAAAUUUCCCUUUCUCCCAACCCCACACCUUGCCUCAAGGAUGAGUGGGCAAUUAUUUACGCUACAUGCAGAUGGAAAUCUAUGAAACACUUGCAUAAAUUUCUUACCCAUACUGAAAUAGUUCCAAAAG
rnacentral:misc_RNA from 1 species